rnacentral:rRNA from 1 species
UACGUGAAACCGUUCAGGGGUAAACCUGAGAAACCCGAAAGGUCGAAAGGGGAAAUUCAGCGUGUCUCAGCUGCGGCGCUGGACGGUCGAGUGACGGGCGGCGUACGCGUCGUCUGCGCCUUCCGUUCUCCGAACUGUAGUUGAACGCGUGCACUUUUCCCCCAGUAGGACGUCGCGAUCCGUUGGGUGUCGGUCUAAGGACCGCGGUGGAGUCCGUCUGGACGGCUUGCCGAUCCGGACGAACCCGCGGUUUCCCGGCCGGCUCGCUCGACGGUAUACAUAUGGCGCGAGGCCGCUAUUUAGUUAGCGUUCGACCCGUGGCAAGCGCGCUCGUCGUGUCGGUGAUCGGACCUGGUCCGGUCCCGGCCCCGGGUGGCUGUUCGCUGCGGUGUUCUCGGACAGACCUCGUUGAAACGCCAAUCAGCGACGCUAUAGCUUUGGGUACUUUCAGGACCCGUCUUGAAACACGGACCAAGGAGUCUAGCAUGUGCGCGAGUCAUUGGGACAUGACUAAACCUAAAGGCGCAAUGAAAGUGAAGGUCCGCCUUGCGCGGACCGAGGGAGGAUGGGUGGUCGUUACGGCUGCCGCCCCGCACUCCCGGGGCGUCUCAUUCUCAUUGCGAGAGGAGGCGCACCAAGAGCGUACACGCUGGGACCCGAAAGAUGGUGAACUAUGCCUGGUCAGGACGAAGUCAGGGGAAACCCUGAUGGAGGUCCGUAGCGAUUCUGACGUGCAAAUCGAUCGUC